CCUAAGCCAUAUUUGGUGUCCACAUAAAGUAUCACCUUGAUCCAAGGUGAUUAAGGACCCCAAAUAACCCAAAAACCCCUUCUGUCCAGAUUGAAGUUAGAGCAACUCUACAUAGCAAAGUUUGUCCAAUGAUGCUGAAACUUUUCAGGAGUGCCUAAUACCUCAAAUGAGGGUUCCACACCAAAAAAGGGAUUUGUGGGACUAAAUUUACCCACACUCUCUUUGGAAGGGACAUAUCUGGUCAAAUAGUGGUGUUUUCAUGUUUACAAAGCUAAACUUAUCCAAUGGAGCUCAAACUUGGUGAAACCCCAUGUUUUAGCACCAAACCCAAACCUGUUAAGUUGCAGCACUAGUGGUGGGGUGCAAACCACUGAAACCACUGUCGAGCACCUUCUGACAGAUGGGUAAAAGCCCUC
rnacentral:lncRNA from 1 species